CAGAGAGAGGAAGAGAGCUGCUUAAACUCACACAACAAUGAACUGCAGACACAGCUGUUCUCUCCCUCUCUCCUUC
rnacentral:miRNA from 1 species